UGACGUAGGGCGCCCCGCCCCCACCGCCAGAUCCGCUGCUGCUGCCUCGGCGGGCCGACCUGCAGGAGGCGGCGGCGGCGGCGGCCGAGGCCGAGGGAAGAUGGCGGACGGUGUGGACCACAUAGACAUUUACGCGGAUGUGGGUGAAGAGUUCAACCAGGAAGCAGAAUAUGGUGGACAUGAUCAGAUAGAUUUGUAUGAUGAUGUCAUCUCUCCAUCUGCAAAUAAUGGCGAUGCCCCAGAAGAUCGCGACUACAUGGAUACUCUUCCACCAACUGUUGGUGAUGAUGUGGGUAAAGGAGCCGCACCAAACGUUGUGUACACUUACACUGGGAAGAGAAUCGCAUUGUAUAUUGGAAAUCUAACAUGGUGGACAACAGAUGAGGACCUAACUGAGGCCGUUCAUUCUUUGGGAGUAAAUGAUAUUUUGGAGAUAAAAUUCUUUGAAAAUCGGGCAAAUGGACAAUCAAAGGGAUUUGCCCUUGUUGGUGUUGGAUCUGAAGCAUCUUCCAAAAAGUUAAUGGAUCUUUUGCCUAAAAGAGAACUUCAUGGUCAGAGUCCUGUUGUAACUCCAUGCAAUAAGCAGUUCCUGAGUCAAUUUGAAAUGCAAUCCAGGAAAACUACACAGUCAGGACAGAUGUCUGGGGAAGGGAAAGCCGGUCCUCCAGGAGGCGGUUCACGCGCAGCGUUUCCUCAAGGUGGUAGAGGACGGGGCCGGUUUCCAGGGGCUGUUCCUGGUGGGGACAGAUUUCCUGGGCCAGCAGGACCAGGAGGGCCACCUCCACCUUUUCCAGGAAAUUUGAUCAAGCAUCUUGUUAAAGGAACUCGGCCUUUGUUCCUGGAAACUAGGAUUCCAUGGCAUAUGGGGCACAGCAUAGAGGAAAUACCCAUUUUUGGCCUAAAAGCUGGACAAACUCCACCACGUCCACCUUUAGGCCCACCUGGCCCACCUGGUCCACCAGGUCCUCCACCUCCUGGUCAGGUUCUGCCACCUCCUCUAGCAGGACCUCCUAACCGAGGAGACCGCCCUCCACCACCAGUUCUUUUUCCUGGACAACCUUUUGGGCAGCCUCCGCUGGGUCCACUUCCUCCUGGGCCUCCACCUCCAGUUCCAGGCUACGGCCCCCCUCCAGGUCCACCGCCUCCACAGCAGGGACCACCUCCACCUCCAGGCCCCUUUCCACCUCGCCCACCAGGUCCACUAGGGCCUCCCCUCACACUUGCUCCUCCUCCACAUCUUCCGGGACCACCUCCAGGUGCCCCGCCACCAGCUCCACAUGUGAAUCCUGCUUUUUUUCCUCCACCAACUAAUAGUGGCAUGCCAACAUCAGAUAGUCGAGGUCCACCACCAACAGACCCAUAUGGCCGACCUCCCCCAUAUGAUAGGGGUGACUACGGUCCCCCUGGGAGGGAAAUGGAUACUGCAAGAACACCUCUGAGUGAAGCUGAGUUUGAAGAAAUCAUGAAUAGAAAUCGGGCAAUCUCAAGCAGUGCUAUUUCAAGAGCUGUGUCUGACGCUAGUGCUGGUGAUUAUGGGAGUGCUAUUGAAACAUUGGUAACAGCAAUUUCUUUAAUUAAACAAUCCAAAGUCUCUGCAGAUGAUCGUUGCAAAGUUCUUAUUAGCUCUCUGCAGGAUUGCCUUCAUGGAAUCGAGUCCAAGUCCUAUGGGUCUGGAUCCAGAAGACGUGAACGAUCAAGAGAACGGGACCAUAGUAGAUCACGGGAAAAGAGUCGUCGCCAUAAAUCUCGGAGUAGAGAUCGCCACGAUGACUAUUACAGAGAGAGAAGCAGAGAACGAGAGAGACACCGGGAUCGGGACCGCGACCGUGACCGAGAGCGUGACCGAGAGCGAGAAUACCGUCAUCGUUAGAAGUAAAUAUACCUACAUUUUAAGUGGUCCAAGUACUUGUUCUGAUUUAAUCUUCUGGAAGCAUCUGAAAACAGAAUUAAUUCUAUUUGUCCCUGAAACUUUUAAAGAAGAUCUAAUACUAUAGUAGGUUAUAAAUCAAAAAGAUGUUUUUCAGCUGCGAAAGAGGAUUUUUUUUUCCCUUUUAGAAAUUACUUUUAGAUGAGAAUUGCUAGCAUUUGAUUGUAUUUUUAAAGGAACACUAUCUUUUUAAUUUGCAAAGAAGGCAGAAAGUGGGUUUAGGGUUCAUAUCUAGGAACUUAAAACUGUGCCAAGCCAUACAUUCCAAGUUAGAAAUACGUGGAAAUAAUUUUCUUUGAUGUUUCAUUCAUAAGCCAUAAUCAUUGUCUUUUUUUUUCCUGUAUUUUAAAUUUUUCUUGUGUACAUUUUUCAUAAAGUAGGAUGAGUUGUCUGUUUAUGCUUCAUUUUUACAUGUAGUUUCAUUUUAUAUUUGUGAACAGUGUUUACUCAUGAAGAGUGGGGACAGAGCACUGUGAAUCUUUUGAAUGUGGCAGGUUAUCAAUUCUGUAAACACCUUUGCUCCAUAUAUGAGUUAAAGUAGACUUAACAAAUCCUUUAUAAGUGUACUUAUAAGUAAAUAUUUUACAAAAAUUUACUAAAAAUCCAGUUGGAAAAUUGUUAAUAUUUAAAUUGUAAUUGGCUUUAUCAUGUAUGUAAUUCUGUGGCUAGCAGUUUCUUUAAUCAUCACAUACAUAACACAUAUACAUACAAACACGAUCCCUUUUGAAAAAGAAAAAAAAUGUAAUUUUUAUGAAAUACAAGUUUCAUGACAGUUUUUGAAGUGAGGAAACCCAUUUUAAUAGCUUGUCUUACAUCUUGAAUAUUUAUCAAAACCCUUUUACUAGUUAUAUGUUAUACUAAAAUUUUAAUUCUCAAAACAUUUCUCUUAGUUUUAAAAUUACUAAAGUUGGUACUGUUUGGAUAUAAACUUUGGAUGUUGUAUCAUAUAAAUCUAAAUAAUUUUUAAAUGAAGUUCUUUUAGUCCUAGUAAAAAUCCCCUAAGGUAGAUUGGGAUCAAGUUAUUACUUAAAAUGUCGAAAUAUCUGUUUUGAUAAAGUAUUGAUUUUUCAAGUGGUAUUUUUUGUUUGUUUAUUUAUUAUAUAGCUACCAAAGAGAUGAUAGUGAAAUUGGAUACAUUUUCAGUAACUCAGUGUGUCCAUCAAGGGGCCUCUAAGCCAGUUCAUAUGUAGCCUUAAUUAGCAGUUCUUUUUACAGGUCUUCAUAAAAUUAAUCCAGUAAACCAAGUAUGCAUUGUUAGCUUUACAUACUUUGAAUUUAUACUCCAGUCAAGAGGAAUCACCUAAAUAUAUCAUUUUGAGUUCAUGUCACUCAGACAUUAACUACAGUUUCCUAUUAUGCAGUUUUUUGCAAUCGGUGAUGUAUCAUUCCCUAAAUCCCAUGUUUUGUUUGUACAUUAAUCAGAAUUGGGUUGUAAUAUUGUUAUGUGCCUUUAUCCAAGCAAAAUUUUACAAAAGCCUUUAUAGCAGGGGAAAGAUAAAAAAGAAAGAAUAUGUUUUUCUGGAUUACUGUACUUUUGCUAUACCAAACGGUAUUUAUUGUGAAGUAGAUGUAAGAGGGUGGGGGUGGGCUUAAAUGCAUAUAUUCCGAGUGCAAACCUAUCUGCAAAUUUUAUUAUCAUUAUAAGGUCUGUUGACCUCUUUAGAAGUUUUAAAAUAUGAGUCCUUUUGAACUUCCUUGUAAAUUUUAAAUGGAAUAAAUGGACUAAGAAGUACUUCACCAAUAAAGUAAGUGUCAGUCUCUGUAUAAGUCACUAAUGUACUCUGCUGUCAAGGGAUGAUGGUGGUAGAGGCAGGUUCUGGAAGCGCGGUGUUGACAGCUGUUAAUGUCUGUCCCAUCCUAAGUUUCUUGUGUUUGAAUUGUUGAGUAAUGUUAAUUGCAUUCUCAUUUGAAAAAUGUAUUAGUUUUUAAAAAAGUUUUCUAUAUCCGAGUCUAAAUAGGUAAUAAUAGUUCAAUGAGAAAAAUAACAGCUUUGUAAAUUUCAGUGUAUAAAUGCAUUGUGCUUCAUAUUCUGUAAUUUUUGCCUCUAUUCUCAGACCACUCUGAGCAAAAUAAAAGCUGUAAGGUUUGUUCUCACAGAAAUAACGUUACUGUCCAGUUGCAGUGGGAGCUCCUUUCCUUGGUUUUACUGCUCUCAUUGUUUAGCAUAGUCCCACCCAGCAGUGUGUGUUAACAACCGAGUUCUGUGCCCCGAGGAAUAAGGGAAGCACAUUCUUUUUCUAGGUGUUUUUUAUUCCGGCUCCUCCUCCUCAUUUGUGAGAUUCUCAUGCUCUCAAAUGAUUACUUUUCCCCUAAGUACUGUGUUUGGAAUCUGGGUUAUAUAACUGUAAGUGUAUGGCCGUGUGAUUAUUUCUGGCACAAAUGUCAUGAACUUGAAUUUAAUUACUACACAGGAUUUAGAAUGUUUUGUGUUUUUUAUCCAGAUUAUUAUAGCUUGUGUUAAUUUGGGGGGAAGCCCAAAGAAAAUCAUUUCUUUUAUGUUAAGAUGUUCCAUCUUGUUAGGAGUGUUAUGUUGAGGCUUUUGUGAAAAUUAAAUUCUUCUUCAUUGCCUGGUGAAUGAUAGAUAACUGUUAACAAGCUUUCAGAAUUUCUUUUACAAGUCUUAGAUGACGUGUUGUGACCAGCCUAGCAUUCCCACCAUGUUUGCUUAUGGUUUUCCAUUGAUCUCAACUGUCCGCUUCACCUCGCUAUGCUGACUCUCAUUUCUUUUCUACUUCUCAUGUUUUUAGUGUGUGUAAAAUCUGAUUGUCCACUGUUUUACUUGAAGUGACAAGAGAGGGUAGAGAGUGGCCCCUUGGAUGGAUAGUGUGUUUUGCUCACCGUGGUUUAAGAAUACAGUUUUGUUUAUAAAUAAUUAAUGUUCUCUGUCUUAAAACAGAAAUCCAGUGCCAAUGUGAGUCACCUGCUCUCUCACCUUCAUCUCAGGGUGAUAGUUUUGCCAUUGUUUAGUUUGUAUCUUGGAUUGUUUUUAAUACAUAAUGUUUUAAAUGAAUUUAGUUAGCAUUGUUUAAAGGAAACCUACUAACCAAUAAGAGAAGAGUGACAUUCAUGUUCUGUAAAUUCAUGCUUUUGCGUUCUGUAGUUAGCAAGUUCUAGCUCUUGACAGUGGGUGAAUUCUAAAUAACAACAGCUUAUUUUGAAAUGUCCAUAUUUUUUGAGUGACUCUCUUUGGCACAAAACUUUUUUUCUUUCAUUUUCUUAUUUGUGGUGCAGUUUAUUUCUGUGUAGUCAAUUGCAUAGAAUACUUCAUUGUGUAUUUUGUACAGUAAUAAAAUGACUUAGUUGAAAUGGGGUAAGUAUGAUGUUCAGAGAAAAACAUCAGAGUAUCAACUCAGUAGCUCCAAGCUUUUUGUGAACAUCAGUAAUAAAUGGAAUUGGUUUUAUAUGUACUGUGUUCUAGUCAAUAAAAGAAGAAACUCAGGAAGAGUUAAUAUGUUUAGACUCUGUUGUUGCCUACCUCAUCCCCAUUCCUCAUUAAGGAGAAAUUUUCAGAUAUAGAAGGGUAGAUUUUAUUAACUUAAAAGUAUUAUAUUUCUAAAAUUAUGUGAGGAUCCUUUUUUAAUUCAGCUCAUUAAUAUGAAAACGUGUAAGAGCUGGGUGUGAUAGUGCACACCUGUGACCUUAGUACCUGAUGACUGAUGCAGGAGGAUGCUCGUGAGCUCCAGGCCAGCCUGGUUUACAUGUGGAGUUUCAUACUAGCCAGACCUCUAUACUAAAACCGUGUUUCAGAAGUAAGAACAAACACUCAACAUAAAAACCUGAGAAUUUCAUCAAAUAAGAUAUUCAAGUGUUUUUCUUAAAAGAUUAAUUUCCAUGAGUUGUAAAAUACAAAUAAUACCAAGAUUGCACAUAUAAUUAAACACUCAAUUUGAGUUGUUCAUAACUGUUUGAUAGCACAAGUGUAGGCAUUUUUAGUCUAUUGAAAUGUUACUGCUUGCUGUAGCUUGCAGACUUUGAGGCCAGUUUCUUUGUCUGGUUGAUUUAACAGCUGUUUACCUAGGUGCCUUUAAUAACUGACAGGUAAAGCAAGUCAUGGUGUGGCUUGGCAUUACAGAUCUAAUCAAAUGCAAUUUUGAAUAUGUGGGCAUCAAAUGUAUUUGUUACUUUUAAGCUUUUUGGUAUCUUUGUUUAUGUAGAUGUCUACUUAGACAUUUGAGUCUAUAAUAUGGAAUUGGAUUAUUGGAAAUGGGUUGUACUGCCUUCAAAUUUUGCUUCCAUUUUGAGAUUGUAAAAUCUGUGUUUAUGUAAAGUGUUUAGAAAUAGAAAUAAAAGUUUCUAAACUAUUCCGUAAAUUUUAUGUCUGUAUGGUAAAAUUUGAAGAUUUAUCAAUUAGUAAAUACCUACCUAUAAUAUAAUGAAGCAAAGGACGAGUGCAUUGGCUCUGCACACACGCGGGCCUCAUAAGCAGGGUUGCCUGUGGACAGCAGUGAGCCUCCACGGGUCAUGCUAAUAUAUAUCCUGUGGCUUUUUGAAAGAUUGGGUUUUUUGUUUUGUUGUUUUUAAUUCCCCUAUACUGGGACUUUAAGUAAUUUUCUCUCAGUAACUCUUCAUUCUUUACAACACAACACAAAUAUUAGGGUAGAUAGUAUUUCUUUUUUAGUAGGAUUUAUAAAUUUUCCACAGGCCUUUUUUUUUUUUUGUAGAUUGAAACACCUGCCUUAUCUGUCUCUAAUGAUUUUACUAUUUUAAAAUUUCACUAGUGCUGGAAGUGUUAGUGUAGGUCCUGAUUUUUGUGUGUUGUGGAGGACUGGAUUCAGUCUUCAGCCUCAGUCCCAGAACACAAACAAAGAGAACUAGCAGCAUUGUAACCUGUAAAACUAAAACAUUUGAAAGCCAACAUUGUAGAUUUCUUCUGUUAAAUCCUCUGUAUAAGCCUAUUAGCAUAUCGUGAAAGAGAAGGUACAAAAGGUGAUUACAUAAAUAGUUUACAUGACUCUUAAAAGAGCGCAGUUGAGAAAGAUUUUUUUCUUUUGUACUUUUAAGGUUUUAUUAGGGAGGAUGAAUAUGUGUAUAUAUACUGAUUCUCCCAAUAGAUAAAUGAACACAGAAUUCAUAGUUGUUACAAAAAUUCCUCCUAAUUAUAAAGCAAAGGAUCUUUCAAAAUUAUUUUUAUGACAGAAUGCCACUAAAUGUUAUGUGCUUUUGAAAAAUAUUAAAAUACCCUCCAAUAUUUCUAUUUUAAAUAUUUGAUAUUAAGUGAUCAUUUUAAAAUUAAUGUUUCUUUUUUGGACAUUUACUUGAAAUUUACAUAAAUAUAAAUAUGUAUUCCUGAGCUUAUAGUAUCAAUUUAUUGUUGGCUUCCCCUCCCCCCCUUUAUGUAAGUUUUCAAUGAAAUUUAUCAUUGUAGAUUUUUAUUAGUUUGUGUUUGGUUAGUGGAUAUAGGUGAAAUAGAAUGAAAGUAAUGUCUGAAAUUUGUAUUGUGUCUAAAGAUUUGUAUGUGGAUGUCAUAUUUAAUGACCAUAAUGAAGUAUUUAUAAAUUUUGUAACAUGGAACUCCAUUGGUUUAUAACAAAUUGGCAGAAGUUCUUGUAUGCUGUCAAAUACAGUUAAUUUGUAAAUUUCAUUGCAUUUUAUAUUCAGUUCAGCAUAUGUUAAUUAUAUUGAUAUGUGGAUGAAUGAAAAAUAUCUACAUUCAAAUCCAAGCAUUUUCCAAUUUAUUUUGUAGUGUGCAUAUUUUAGACAAUGACUUACGGUUGUUCUCAUCAUCACAGAAACAGUAGCUGUGUAUUUUCAUUUGUUACUGUAAUCUUAUUCUUUUCAAAAUUAUCAUAUUUUGCACAAAACAGUGGUCCUCAUGAGAAUCAUUGAAUUUCAAUGGAAGUAAUAUGUGAAAAGAAUAUGAGAAUUUCUUACUUUGAAUUUGUAAAUUCAGUUUGUAAACAUGGGAGCAUUUCUCCACCAUGUAAGCAGCUACUGUUUGAGUUACCUUUUAUUUUGUGCUAGAAUCCCUAACAGUGAAUAGUUGCACGACAUGUGUAUGUAUAGCUAAGCCAACAUUUUUUUUUUGUGUAUUCUGGGGAAUAGCAAAAUCUACAUCACAAAUUUUGACACAUUACAGCUGAAGGAAGAGGAACACCUUCCAAGACAAAAGAGUCUUCUCGGGGGAAAAGUGACGCUUGUCCAGCAGUUUGCUUCUUGUGAUUGAACUGAACCUGUAAGGCUUCAUGGAUAAACUGAACAGGAAUAGAUCUGAAUAAAGCAAAUCUGCAUAAAUGGUAACCAGUAGCUCUACUUUUAUUUUUUAUGUUGCUUAACUGUUUUAUUUGAAGGAAACCUGUGUGAUUUAAAAAGUUAAUAGCUUUUGCAACUUUAUUACUGGUUAUAUAUAUUUGGCCAUUAUAAUGUGCAAGCAAUUGGAAAAAAGUCAAGUAAAUGCUUGUUUUUAUAGUAGUUUGUUCUUGUUAAAAUGUUCCUAUGAUAAUGUCUGUAAACAGCACCGAUUUGAUUACACUAGAUGUAGUGUUGUAAUAAACUGUUUAUGGGGCUGAUGUGUAAAGCUGUUCACGUUAUUUGAUGUUUACACCUCAGGGAAAGGCUUGUGUUCAGCAAUAUCUAAAGAUAAUGUUACUAUGACAACAUUUUUACUGUCCUUUAAAAAGCAUUGCAAUAGCGUGUUUGGAUAUGCAUCAAUCUAAUCUUGCGUUCAGUGAAUUAAACAUGACUAAUUAAGUGUCUAUUGCCCUUGAUUUUGAUAUUAGAAUAGGUGACUACAUGGGUAUUUAAUAUUUCUAUAUUCUGCUUUUCUAGCUGUUUUUACCUAGUUAGCUUGUGAUUUUGCUGAAUGGUAUGUAAACGUGUAAAAACUGAAAUUUGACAGAGCAAUCCAGUCAAUGUGUUAGGGGUCAAAAAAAUUGAAGGCUGUAACAUUUUUGGUAAAAACUCAUGUAUUUGCUACAGUAGUGCAGCUUAAUUACAACCCAGAUAUACUGAAAUAAUAAAUUGUGAACUGCUAGCAUUUAAGAUAGAUUUUGAUAAUUCUGGUUUCAUGCAGUAAUUUACUGUUUGAUGCUGAUGGUGCCAUAGGCAGUGUAAUUAUGGCUAUACAGCAAGAUGCGUAAAGAAAGCUCUAGUAUUGUACUUGAUUCAGAUUUCUGAAGGGUGUGAUGUUUAUUAACAUUGGGCUGUAUUGUUCAGUGUGAAUAAUGAAAAUUUAUAAUUACACUGUCUUCAUGGCUCAAGGAAUUGUGUGUGUAUUCCUGUAACCUUGUUGAUCUAUGCUUGAUUAGAGUUAAUCAGCUGAUUUUUUUUUCUUUUUUUUUCCUUUCUUUCAUUUUUUUUUUUAAAAGAUCCAGCCUUAAUAAAAGGUUGUAUUAAAAGCACCUGGCUAGCAUGUGUUAUGCAAAAAAUAGCAGAGACAGACUGACUGUCAAUUUGAUUGCCUAUUUUUAUAGGAAGGUAAAAAUCUGAAUUACUAAAGAAAUUUAGAUAAAGUCCUAAAGCUAAUUUGUGUUAAAUGUUUUAAAGAUCUUAUUACCUGUGAGAGAUCUGUGCAUUGACUUUUUGAAGUUUACGUAAAUUUAAGAGCAGAGCUUAAGGUCUGUGCCAUAGGUUGAGGUAAUGAGCAGCUUGAGAGGUUUGUACUUUUCUUCAGUGUUGUCUUCUCUGCUUUUAAAACACUCAGAAAUAUCCAUACCACUGCCAGUUCAUUUUAAAGCAUCUGUGAGCAGGGUAUUUUUUGAAAGGUAUCAUUGGUGUUUACCACAACUGUUGUUAGCUCUCAGAAAUGAUUUUUCUUAAGUGUUUAAUCUUGUUGAAAUGCAAUUACCUUUUAAUUUGGGAGUUGUAUCAAAAUCUAUUUUCUUGUUUUGUAUAUAGGUCUUGUAAGUUUUUGUCAUUUUUUAGCUUUUUUUAAUAGUUCAAUUACAAUGCCCUAAUGUGAAGCUGUGUGGACAUACAUGUGUUUACAAGGGGGAUUAGUUAAUAGUGAGAUUAACAGGUAAGUACAAUGUCCAUAGAUAGAAUUUCUCUGAACAUUUUAAAAAUGGAAUCAAAAAAUACAUAUACUUGAAAUGAAACUGGAGAUUUUGUACUAAUUUUAAUCCUUUAUUACCUUUUAUUUUUUCUUUUUAAAAAAAUCAGUUGGAACCCUUUGUUUGCUCUCCUUAUGUCACACUUCUUGCUUGGCCUAUUUCACUCAUAAGCGACUUUGGAUGCAGACAGUGUAUUAGCCUUGCUUGCUGCUGCUGGUCCAUUACUUUAAGUGUUGUUAGGAAAAAAUAAAAUAGCUUUGGUUUGUCUAAUUUUGCAGUGUCUCCUACCUGAUAACACAUGAAUGUAUAGCAGUAAAAGUAAAAAUUACAAACCUUGUUAUUUGUCAAAGCCCUUCUGUUGUCUAGGAGCCAGUUUCAUUUGAAAACUGGUUUUUAAUGUGUAAAAGCAAUCCAAAGAGAUGAAAUUUUACAGACACCAAAAAAGAGAGAGAGAGACAAACAAGUCAGAGAGAAGAAAAAAGGAGUUAAACACGUGUAGUUCAUAUAGAGAGGCAGUGACAGCUUGAGCUUGUCUUGAGUCCCAGCGUCGCUCAGUGCUGUGUAGUCACAUUCCUUGCAGCUAGUAGUGAGAUUCCACAAGGUAUUUCUCCUGACGUGGCACUUUGAAUUCAAUAUACUGCUUUGAGGGAAAGGAAAUAGAUUUGUAGAAAGGAUUCCUUCAGUGUAAAUUUACAUGUGUUUAUGUUUUGUCAGUUUUCAUCAGCAAGAUGAGCAAGAUUCUAAGUGACUUGCCAUAGUUGUUGAUCAUGUCAGGCCAUUUCAUGUCUCCUUAACCUAUAAUCUUAAGCAGUUAACUACAAUUUGGAAUUUACAAAUAGCAUGUAGCUUAAGGUAUUAUUUUAAUUUGAUUCUCCUAUGGAGACUGUUGCUUUAGUUUUUACUAGUUUAAAGUCAGUUCUAAAAAUAAACAUGGACGCUUUCAUGAACAUUGUAUAAUAUUUUAUAGUAAAGGGGGGGAAGUUGUUUAAAGGGUAAGACUUUAUCUUUCCCUGUGUUGACACGUGCCAAUAGCCUGAGUACAUUCUGUUUCAUACAACAAGAUGCCACUGCAAGACUCUUCCACUGGAGUGCUCAUGUCACUUCAGUUUUGCUACCCAAGUGGUUGUUGCAGUGUCUAUAUCUUGCAAGGUGGCCCCAAUAUUGUGUUUUAAGCUUCAGCUUCAGUUAUUUUAAGAGGAAGUUUAUGCUCUGAUUCUUCACUGAGAAUUCAGUAUUGAGAUUCUUGCUAUUACACAGAUAGACUGAUUUCUAAAUUUUAUUCAUGAACUUCAUUUGCAUCCCAUAGCCCUCUGUAAAUGUUUCCCCCAGUUGUAUGUACUUACUAAAUGCAUGCUUUUUCAUUGUACAUACUAGACAUUUUUUGUGCUAAAAUUUAUUAAGUAGGGUUUUUGUAGCAAAGCAUUCUAUUUUUAUGUUCUUAUAGUGUAUGUGUUAACAUUAAUAUUCAGUUUAAACACUGGUGUAUUUAUUUUUAGCAACUUGACUCCUAGAAGCCUUAGACUAAUUUUUAAAUAAACAUUCAACCAAAAAUUAUGAAUUUCUUGAGAUGUGGCCUUAUACGUGGUGUUUUCUGUGUUCAUAACGUGAAAUAUUUUAAAUUUAGAUUUUAUUUAAAUCAAGAUUUAGAAUUAGUUUCAUUUUAAGUCAAAAUAGAAAAUGUAUUAAGCGUCUAGGCUUCUGGGAGGAAGUUCUUAACACUCUUCUUUCUUGGCAUUAGAAAGAAGCAAUAUGAAUUUAUGAAUAUUCUAAAUAUUCAGGCCAUUGUAUUGUGUUCAGAUUGCUUUAGGCUUGUUUUAGCCCAGUGUUUCUUUAAAGUUCCAGGUGGUUGGCAUUCAUGAAUAUACAGCUACUGUGGUUUUUAUAUGGGUGUAUGAAAUCUUGGUUACAUAUAGGCAGAUUUCUGUUUUUAAAGAAUUCCUGCUACAUUAAUUAUACUGUAUCAGGAGGCAUUUAAAAUAUUAGGUAACAUUUAAUUGAAGUCACACAGGUCUUGGAUGGUAUUCGUGGAUAGUAAAUACUACGAGCAGUUUUUCAUAUCAGAGAGUGAGUACCCUAAAACUCCACCAUGGGAGUAAAUUAAAAUAAUUUCAUAAUUGGCUAUACCCUUCAUUUUAGUAAAAAUACUUCAUUUUGAAAGUUAUUUUUUUGCCACACUGUUUACUGCGUAACACUUCUCAGCAUUUCUGUAUGCAAACUAUUUUAAAAUACAGUGAUCAAUUCGUGUUUAUUUUUUACUUCGGAAAUUGUAGUACUCAGGUGGUAUUCAAUGGGCAAUGAUUCUUUGAUGUGAAUCAUAAUGUAUUUUGAGGACUGCAACUAUAACACACGACUUUAGCCUUAAGAAAAGGUCUAUUACUCCUUCCUUUGCAUCCCAUGGUAUAUUAGCAAAGUAGUUUACAGCCCUGCACAGCCUUACAAAGUUGUUUUACAAUUUUUUUAUGGAAAACCCUUAACAAGAGAAAAUUGUAUCAUAUUACAGUGCUGAUGAGUUAUUGAAUGAUCACCCUUUGUAAAUAAGUUGUCUGAUACCAGAAGGCCAAAGAAAGUCUUGAGAUUUUAGCUAUUGAAUGUGGUGACUUCAUAAGAUUUCUGUGCAAAAGGUAAGGUGAGAUUCCAUUCAGUAGGCAUUCUGUUGAUGUCCAUGAAAACUAGACUUCCAUAUUAGCUUCCUUCAAAAGGCUCAUUCCCAUUUUAUUAAAAUGUUUGUACUUGCAAUUUUGUGUUUAAUGUUUACUUUGUCUUUUCUUUCUUUAGCAUUUAGGUGACUGUUCAGCAGUUUUCUAUAUGGCCAUUGUUGGCCUAAAACUGCGCUAGUAACAAGCAUGGUAUUUAUCUUGUAUUGAAAAUAAAAACAAAGUUUUGGUAAUA